rfam:Callithrix jacchus chromosome 13, whole genome shotgun sequence
GUUAAGAUGGCAGAGCCCAGCAAUUGCAUAAAACUGAAAACUUUAUAAGUAGAAGUUCAACUUUUCUUCUUAACA